rnacentral:rRNA from 1 species
GUAUAGAGGGUGAAUUCUGCCCAAUGGUUGUAUAGUGAAACUGAGGACUAACGUCUAAAGCGAAACCCAACUGAAUGGCCGCGGUAACUCUGACCGUGAUAAUGUAGCACAAUAAAUAGCCAAUUAAUUGUUGGCGGGUAUGAAUGGAACCACGAGGGUCUUACUGUCUCAAGAGGAAAGCCGAUGAAAUUAUAGUUGUAGUGAAGAUACUACAUAAACAUUGUAAGACGAAAAGACCCUAUUGAGCUUUACUGGAUACCGAUAGCGUUAACUUAAAAUGAUCGAUACUAAGUAUCCUAAUUUUGAGUUAAUAAUUUUUGUUGGUAGGACAGUUUAGUUGGGGCGACUACCUUUGAAUAAGAAACGAAGGCGAGCUUAUGGUAUACAAAGCUAAUCUCAUUAGCCUGACAGUGAGGGGGACACCCCUAGCUGGCACAAGGACUACGUCCUAUGUGGGCGAUAAUGACCCGAUAUGAUUGUCCAAAAUAAAUAUCGAAAGCGGAUAAAAGCUACCAUAGGGAUAACAGCGUAAUAUUGUCGGAGAGUUCUUAUCGAGGACAGUGUUUGCGACCUCGAUGUUGAAUUGCGGUGCCCUGGUGCUGUAGAAGGUACCUUAGGUUGGUC